GGAUUUAGUAAUUUAUUUUAUAAAAUAUUCAAAGAAUCAAUUUGCCCUUAUAUGACUAGUGCCUUUAACAGUGCGGCUAAAAGAGGAUCUCUUCCAACAGAGAUGUUAAAAGCUAAUAUUCUACCAAUUUUAAAACAAAACAAAAAUCCUACUGAUGUUAAAAAUUACCGUCCAAUAUCCUUGAUAGAUGUUGACACUAAAC